GACAUUAAAAAUCAGAUUUGAUUUGAUUUAUUCUAAUCCAUGAGAUGAACGGUCCUUUUCUACCUCUCUUAGAUCUAGUCCAGGGAUUAGAUAAGAAAGGAAGAAGAAAGAGAUUUGAUCUCUUAUCUUCUUCAGUAUAUCUUGGAUUCUUUUUAGAAGAAGAAAGUGGAAAAAAAAAUUCAGAUUUGAUCUGAUUUCAUAGUCCUACUAUGAAUCUGAUUGAUUUUCUUGAGAAGAGAAUCAAAAGAUCAAGCCGAUUCGAUAAUCCAGAGAGCGAUCUCUGCAAUGAAGUUAGCACUCCGGGUGAGAUCAAGUCUUUCUGAUUAGAUUAAUCUUGAUGGAUAUCCGUAGAGAUCGGACAUAUAUGUGGCUCUGCGGGAACCUCACCAGAUUAUCACAGACCAUCGGAUUACAGUGAAGAUCUACCCAUGCAAAGGUAAAAAUUUAAAUUUAAAUCUAAUUUUAUUUUUAGUAUCUUAAUUUUAGCAUGUAAAUAUUUCUGGCA
rnacentral:lncRNA from 1 species